UACGUAGGCAGCGAGCGUUGUUCGGAGUUACUGGGCGUAAAGGGUGCGUAGGCGGUUGUUUAAGUUUGGUGUGAAAUCUCCCGGCUCAACUGGGAGGGUGCGCCGAAUACUGAAUGACUAGAGUGCGGGAGAGGAUAGUGGAAUUCCUGGUGUAGCGGUGAAAUGCGUAGAUAUCAGGAGGAACACCGGUGGUGUAGACGGCUAUCUGGACCGUAACUGACGCUGAGGCACGAAAGCCAGGGGAGCGAACGGG
rnacentral:rRNA from 1 species